UCCUUAGAUGUUCUGGGCCGCACGCGCGCUACACUGAUGCAUUCAACAAGCCUAGCCUUGACCGAGAGGUCCGGGUAAUCUUUGAAACUGCAUCGUGAUGGGGCUAGAUUAUUGCAAUUAUUAAUCUUCAACGAGGAAUGCCUAGUAAGCGUGAUUCAUCAAAUCGCGUUGAUUACGUCCCUGCCCUUUGUACACACCGCCCGUCGCUCCUACCGAUUGAAUGUGUUGGUGAGGAGCUCGGAUUGGCAGCAGUUGGUGGUUCGCCACCGGCUAUUGCUGAGAAGUCCUCCAAACCGCCCCAUUUAGAGGAAGGAGAAGUCGUANCA
rnacentral:rRNA from 1 species